rnacentral:rRNA from 1 species
CAGCACCUCAAGUGGUCAGGAUGAUUAUUGGGCCUAAAGCAUCCGUAGCCGGCUCUGUAAGGUUUCGGUUAAAUCUGUACGCUCAACGUACAGGCUGCCGGGAAUACUGCAGAGCUAGGGAGUGGGAGAGGUAGACGGUACUCGGUAGGAAGGGGUAAAAUCCUUUGAUCUAUUGAUGACCACCUGUGGCGAAGGCGGUCUACCAGAACACGUCCGACGGUGAGGGAUGAAAGCUGGGGGAGCAAACCGGAUUAGAGACCCGAGUAGUCC